rnacentral:rRNA from 1 species
GACGAACGCUGGCGGCGUGCUUAACACAUGCAAGUCGAACGGACAGGCCCUGCUCUUGUGGGGUGCUCGAGUGGCGAACGGGUGUGUAACACGCGAGUAACCUGCCCUUGACUUUGGGAUAAAUUCAGGAAACUGGGGCUCAUACCGGAUAGGAGCUACUGCUGCAUGGUGGGGGAUGGAAAGUUUCGGCGGUUGGGGAUGGUCUCGCGGCUUCUCAGCUUGUUGGUGGGGUAGUGGCUUACCAAGGCUUUGACGGGUAGCCGGCCUGAGAGGGUGACCGGCCACAUUAGGACUGAGAUACGGCCCAGACGCCUACGGGAGGCAGCAGUGGAAAGUAUUGCACAAUGGGCGGAAGCCUGAGACAGCAACGCCGCGUGCGGGAUGACGUCCUACGGGUGGUGAACCGCUUUCGCCUGUGACAAAGCGUGAGUGACGGUAAUGAGUAAAGAAGCACCGGCUAACUACGUG